CCUACGGGAGGCAGCAGUCGGGAAUUUUGGGCAAUGGGCGAAAGCCUGACCCAGCAACGCCGCGUGAAGGAUGAAGUAUUUCGGUAUGUAAACUUCGAAAGAAUAGGAAGAAUUAAUGACGGUACUAUUUAUAAGGUCCGGCUAACUACGUGCCAGCAGCCGCGGUAAUACGUAGGGACCAAGCGUUGUUCGGAUUUACUGGGCGUAAAGGGCGCGUAGGCGGUGCGGUAAGUCACUUGUGAAAUCUCUGAGCUUAACUCAGAACGGCCAAGUGAUACUGCAGUACUAGAGUGCAGAAGGGGCAAUCAGAAUUCUUGGUGUAGCGGUGAAAUGCGUAGAUAUCAAGAGGAAUACCUGAGGUGAAGACGGGUUGCUAGGCUGACACUGACGCUGAGGCGCGAAAGCUAGGGGAGCAAACGGGAUUAGAUACCCCGGUAGUCCUAGCCCUAAACGAUGAAUACUUGGUGUCUGGAGUUUUUAAUGCUCCGGGUGCCGUCGCUAACGUUUUAAGUAUUCCGCCUGGGGAGUACGCUCGCAAGAGUGAAACUCAAAUGAAUUGACGG
rnacentral:rRNA from 1 species